AACCGAAGGCAGGAGAAGCAGGCGGCUGCCGGUCGGAGCGUGAGGUGAACUGAAUUUCAGGCUCGGGCGAGGAGUCUCGGGAUGUGGGAGAAACGCUGUGAUUGAUCUCCGUAGUGAUCCCGGAAAUGUGGCUUCAAAAACAGCUGACAGGUAAGCGGGUGAUGGAUCCGGCUGAGGAUACAGGACAACAGGUAAGCAAACAAAAUCCAAGACAUAGGUUGUGUCAUGGUCCGACAGCCCUUGCCUGGCUGCCUGCCCGUGCGUUAUUGUGUGCAUGUUGCGCUCUUCCUUUCUCUCCCAUUUUCUCUCUCUCUCUCUCUCGUAACGGGGUUGUUUACCUCCGAGCGGUGACGAGCAUUCCCGAGAGUGUUCCCGCGCUGAGUCUGACCGCACCUGUUGUUGAUCGGAGCCGACCAGCUGUAACCAAUUAUCCGCCAUCUCCCGGGCUGCCUUCUUAACAGGGCGAUCGAGCUUCAGUCAGCGCUGGAUCAUUGUGUGAAGCACGGAGGGAAACGGAGAGAGAGAUCACGGGAGCUGGACCGCCUUUUGGGAUUUCUGUUUGGAAGGAGUCACUGCGUGUGUUUUCACUUCACGGCCAUGAGCACUGCUAGGAGGAGGAGGAGAAGGAGGAGACCACACCGGGCACCCCAUAUAUAUAUAUAUAUAUAUAUAUAUAUAUAUAUAUAUAUAUAUAUAUAUAUAUAUAUAUAUAUAUAUAUAUAUAUAUUGAACUGUUGCACCUUUACCGCACUGUAAAUAAAU
ensembl:lncRNA